UCGGGAAUUUUGGGCAAUGGGCGAAAGCCUGACCCAGCAACGCCGCGUGAGGGAUGAAGUAUUUCGGUAUGUAAACCUCGAAAGAAUGGGAAGAAUAAAUGACGGUACCAUUUAUAAGCUCCGGCUAACUACGUGCUAGCAGCCGCGGUAAUACGUAGGGAGCAAGCGUUGUUCGGAUUUACUGGGCGUAAAGGGCGCGUAGGCGGCGCGGUAAGUCACUUGUGAAAUCUCUGAGCUUAACUCAGAACGGCCAAGUGAUACUGCUGUGCUAGAGUGCGGAAGAGGCAACCGGAAUUCUUGGUGUAGCGGUGAAAUGCGUAGAUAUCAAGAGGAACACCUGAGGCGAAGGCGGGUUGCUGGGCCGACACUGACGCUGAUGCGCGAAAGCCAGGGGAGCAAACG
rnacentral:rRNA from 1 species